UAUGAUCUGAAGUCAGGUGGGAU
rnacentral:rRNA from 1 species